UACGUAGGGUGCGAGCGUUGUCCGGAAUUAUUGGGCGUAAAGGGCUCGUAGGCGGUUUGUCGCGUCGGGAGUGAAAACCCAGGGCUUAACCCUGGGCUGGCUUUCGAUACGGGCAGACUAGAGGUAUGCAGGGGAGAACGGAAUUCCUGGUGUAGCGGUGAAAUGCGCAGAUAUCAAGGAGGAACACCGGUGGCGAAGGCGGUUCUCUGGGCAUUACCUGACGCUGAGGAGCGAAAGCGUGGGGAGCGAACAGG
rnacentral:rRNA from 1 species